rnacentral:rRNA from 1 species
UUUGAUCCNUGGCUCAGGAUGAACGCUAGCGGCAGGCCUAACACAUGCAAGUCGAGGGGCAGCAUAGAUUGCUUGCAAUCUGAUGGCGACCGGCGCACGGGUGAGUAACGCGUAUGCAACCUGCCUUCUACAGGAGGAUAGCCCCCGGAAACGGGGAUUAAUACUCCAUAGUAUUGCGUCAACANAAGUUGANGUUCUUAAAGCUUCGGCGGUAGAAGAUGGGCAUGCGUCCUAUUAGCUUGUUGGUAAGGUAACGGCUUACCAAGGCAUCGAUAGGUAGGGGGCCUGAGAGGGUGGCCCCCCACACUGGUACUGAGACACGGACCAGACUCCUACGGGAGGCAGCAGUGAGGAAUAUUGGUCAAUGGAGGCAACUCUGAACCAGCCAUGCCGCGUGCAGGAAGAAUGCCCUAUGGGUUGUAAACUGCUUUUAUUUAGGAAGAAUCCCCCAGUACGUGUACUGGGUUGACGGUACUAAACGAAUAAGACCCGGCAA